rnacentral:rRNA from 1 species
AAUAUUGCACAAUGGGGGAAACCCUGAUGCAGCGACGCAGCGUGCGGGAUGACGGCCUUCGGGUUGUAAACCGCUUUCAGCAGGGAAGAAGCCCUUCGCGGUGACGGUACCUGCAGCAGAAGUACCGGCUGACUACGUCGCCGCAGCCGGGGUAAUACGUAGGGUACAAGCGUUGUCCGGAAUUAUUGGGCGUGAAGACCUCGUAGGUGGAUGGUCACGUCUGCUGUGGGAACGCAACGCUUAACGUUGCGCGUGCAGUGGGUACGGGCUGACUAGAGUGCAGUAGGGGAGUCUGGAAUUCCUGGUGUAGCGGUGAAAUGCGCAGAUAUCAGGAGGAACACCGGUGGCGAAGGCGGGACUCUGGGCUGUAACUGACACUGAGGAGCGAAAGCAUGGGGAGCGAAC